CAUUAUUUGAUGAUAGUGAUGAUGUUGAUAUUUAAUAAGUAUUUUAUAUGAAAGCUGAUAAUAUACAGUAUUAUACAAUAAUAAUGAUUAUGUUGUAUUUUAUAUGUUAUUCAUUAUGAUGUAUUGAUGACAAGGACAGUAUAUCAUUGCAGUGUGAUCAAAUAGAAAUUUACAGCAUAGAACAACAAUGAUACACACACAAGCACACACAGUGCAGUAAAUUAUGUCAGAUCUGCGUCUCAUAUUUCUGUCUGGACCCUUCUGAAAGUUUCACUUGACCAAAUACAGCCAUGAUUGGUUAAUGAAGUGGUUACAGAACAUUCUACUUUCUGUAUGUUGGUCAACUAGAAAUGAUGUAAUCAAAAGGAAAGAGAAAAGAACCUGUCAAAAUAAAUCCCUCUUUCAGAAUCUCCUUGUUUGUCUGUCUCUCCUUUACUCCCUACUUUAAUCUCUUCCCUGUUCUUUUCAGUUCUCUCUCUCUCUCCACUUCCAGAGGUCUCGUUACUCCUUCCAGAGGUCUCGUUACUCCUUCCAGAGGUCUCGUCACUCCUUCCAGAGGUCUCAUCUCACCUUUCAGUCCUCUCUUUCCUUUCAGGGUCCUCUCUUUCCUUUCAGUCCUCUCUUUCCUUUCAGGGUCCUCUCUUUCCUUUCAGAGUCCUCUCUUUCCUUUCAGAGUCCUCUCUUUCCUUUCAGAGUCUUCUCUUUCCUUUUAGAGUCCUCUCUUUCCUUUUAAUGUCCUCUCUUUCCUUUUAGAGUCCUCUCUUUCCUUUUAGAGUCCUCACUCUCCUUUUAGAGUCCUCGCUCUCCUUUUAGAGUCCUCGCUCUCCUUUUAGUCCUCGCUCUCCUUUUAGAGUCCUCGCUCUGAGUUGUCCUCUUGCCCUCUUUUCAGAGAUCUACUGGUAAUUAACCAGUCUAACAUCAGAUACAUUUUAAUCAUCCAAUCAAAUCACAUACAUACACAUACAACCAAUUUGAUGUGUUACAUUGGGAUUUGUCCAGUUGUCAGAUUCUAUUCCAUCUAGUGUUUUACAAUAAAAGAUUUAAUGACAUCAUGAAUUAUUUCACAUAAUGAUAGCAUUCAGACCCCAUUCUCUUUUUCCCUCUCUUUCAUUCCCCUUUCAUUGUUCAGCAUUCAGAACUUCAGUUGGGGAAUUGGAUUACCUCUUUCUAUCCCUCUUCCAACCCCUCAUCCCUCUUCCACCCCUCAUCCCUCUUUCACCUCCUCAUCCCUCUUUCACCCACUCAUCCCUCUUCCACCCCUCAUCCCUCUUUCACCUCCUCAUCCCUCUUCUACCCCCUCAUCCCUCGUUCACCUCCUCAUCCCUCUUUCACCCCCUCAUCCCUCUUUCACCCCCUCAUCCCUCUUCCACCCCCUCAUCCCUCUUCCACCUC
ensembl:lncRNA